GAUGAACGCUAGCUACAGGCUUAACACAUGCAAGUCGAGGGGUAACGAGAGGAAAGCUUGCUUUCCUUGUCGACGACCGGCGCACGGGUGAGUAACGCGUAUCCAACCUGCCCCCAACUAGGGAAUAACCUUGCGAAAGUAAGACUAAUACCCUAUAAUUUCCUCAGAUGCCAUCUGACGAGGAAUAAAGAUUUAUCGGUUGUGGAUGGGGAUGCGUCUGAUUAGCUUGUUGGCGGGGUGACGGCCCACCAAGGCAACGAUCAGUAGGGGUUCUGAGAAGAAAGUCCCCCACAUUGGCACUGGGACACGGUCCAAACUCCUACGGGAGGCAGCAGUGAGGAAUAUUGGUCAAUGGGCGGAAGCCUGAACCAGCCAAGUAGCGUGCAGGAUGACGGCCCUAUGGGUUGUAAACUGCUUUUAUACAGGAAUAAAGUUAGCCACGUGUGGUUAUUUGUAGGUACUGUAUGAAUAUGGACCGGCUAAUUCCGUGCCAGCAGCCGCAGUAACAC
rnacentral:rRNA from 1 species